rnacentral:rRNA from 1 species
CCCCUAGAUGUUCUGGGCCGCACGCGCGCUACACUGAACAGUUCAACAAGUCUUAACCUUGGCCGAUAGGUCUGGGUAAUCUUUGAACGCUGUUCGUGAUUGGGAUAGACCUUUGCAAUUAUGGGUCUUCAACGAGGAAUUCCUAGUAAACGCAAGUCAUCAGCUUGCAUUGAUUACGUCCCUGCCCUUUGUACACACCGCCCGUCGCACCUACCGAUUGAAUGGUCCGGUGAAAUCUCGGGACGGCGGCUUGGUCGCUUGCGUCCGACUGCUGAAACUUGAUUAAACCAUAUCAUUAGAGGAAGGUGAAGUCGUAACA